rnacentral:tRNA from 1 species
GGUAAGGUGGCCGAGAGGCUGAAGGCGCUCCCCUGCUAAGGGAGUAUGCGGCUUAUACCCGCAUCGAGGGUUCGAAUCCCUCCUUCACCGCCA